AUGCCUCUGACUCUUCUGCAAUACUUGUAUUGAAGACAAAUGUUUAAAGAUUCGUAAUAUAAAGUAUUUUCUUAGACAUAGGGCCAUCCCAAAAUAUGUGAUUAAUUGAUACAAUAGUAAGGUUAUUUUCUUCAAAAGAUAGUAACCAUGAACUUCUUUAUGGGUCAGGGUCUUCCUAGGUUGCUGAAAUUGGCCUCAAACUUGUGAUCCUCCCACCACAGUUUCCUGAAUAGCCACAGGUACAGGUGUGCACCAUAGCACCAGCCCACUGAGCAGAAUGCAGCUCUACAAUGAAGACGCAAGAGCUGGAGCAACUUUGAGUCUCUGACUCCUCAGG